UGCGUAGGCGGGUCUUUAAGUCAGGGGUGAAAUCCUGGAGCUCAACUCCAGAACUGCCUUUGAUACUGAAGAUCUUGAGUUCGGGAGAGGUGAGUGGAACUGCGAGUGUAGAGGUGAAAUUCGUAGAUAUUCGCAAGAACACCAGUGGCGAAGGCGGCUCACUGGCCCGAUACUGACGCUGAGGCACGAAAAGCGUGGGGGAGCAAACA
rnacentral:rRNA from 1 species